rnacentral:miRNA from 1 species
ACUUUACCAUUGGAGGUGC